rnacentral:rRNA from 1 species
GAUGAACGCUGGCGGCGUGCUUAACACAUGCAAGUCGAACGAGAAGUGGAGACGGACACCUUCGGGCGGAAGACUUUAUUUCGAGUGGCGGACGGGUGAGUAACGCGUGGGUAACCUGCCUCAUACAGGGGGAUAACAGUUGGAAACGACUGUUAAUACCGCAUAAGACCACAGCACCGCAUGGUGCGGGGGUAAAAACUCCGGUGGUAUGAGAUGGACCCGCGUUCGAUUAGCCAGUUGGCGGGGUAACGGCCCACCAAAGCGACGAUCGAUAGCCGAUCUGAGAGGAUGACCGGCCACAUUGGGACUGAGACACGGCCCAAACUCCUACGGGAGGCAGCAGUGGGGAAUAUUGCACAAUGGGGGAAACCCUGAUGCAGCGACGCCGCGUGAGUGAAGAAGUAUUUCGGUAUGUAAAGCUCUAUCAGCAGGGAAGAAAAUGACGGUACCUGAGUAAGAAGCCCCGGCUAACUACGUG